UAUAUAAGUAGUAUGCUUUAAAUAAUAUGUAAAGUAAAUUAAAUUAUAUUUUUUUAUAAAAUUAAUUUUGGGUACUGAUUGGCCACAAACAAGUGACUAAAUUCAAAAUAUUGGGUUUAAACAUGGUUAUUACGUGUUGGACCAGAUUUUGGACUCCAAAACAAGCCCAAUUGGAUCAUUUUGCACCAACUAAUCCACGACUAAUAAGCGACUAAGUUUAAAACAUUUUGGGUUAAUUAAACUCGGGAAUCCAUUUACGCGGUCCAGCCCAUAACCCUAACAAACGAGAUAACCCUAAUUUUUCAACCCUAAUCUCUCAUUUCUCACCAUCCUCCGAUUCUCUCAAUCUCUCAAUCUUCGAUCGCCGAAACUCUAAUCUCCCAAUCUUAUUUCUCACCAUCCUUCAUCUUCCUCCUGCCGAUUCUCACGAUGCCUCCUCUUAAGAAGCCUGGACGAAAGAGGAAUGUUGUCCCCAACGCUCCUCUCAGACCCGGUGGCUCUAACCCUCCGUCGAAGGUGAGAAAAGUCAACCAUAUACCACCUCAAUACAACUUCACGCCGGCGGCUCAAAAUCCUACACCUCAAGAACAAGUCCGCGUUUCCCCCCAACUAUCGACAUCAGCCGCAUCGCAGGUCAGAAACUAUCCACCCCCACAGACCCUAUUUCAGAAGUCCAUGAAUCGAAGCGUUGAUGACCAACCAACUCGGUCAUUACCAGAAGUUCAGAACAAUCCACCGAUUCGAUCGAAUCCUUUGUAAGAAUCUGUGAGAUCCCCAACUCAGAACUCUCAUGCUCCUUCUUCUCAAGGUAACAACUUCGACGAGUCUGAUCCAGUGUUGCCGGAACUCCAGGAAGACACGUUGAGGGCUCUUAACGCCAUACUUAUGGUACCGGACCUUCAUACUUUUACCACUGUCCUCUCUCCGGAACCGAAGCCUAACACAACUUGGUUUACUCUUGAUGCCAAAUCACAACUGGUGCGGAAGAUUACAAAGGUUUUUACAAACAAAUUUGAUGGUCCAUACUAUAAUUGGUCAUGUGUACCUCCGGAUAGACGAGAAAGAUACUUUCUUGAGUUUGCGAAAACACACACUUGAGAUCCAUUGAUAACAGGGACAGUGCAACAUUUUUUCUAUGAGAUAUGUCAACGCCGGAUGAAAAAUAUGGUAAGCGACGCUAGGACUAGUCGAGGGCAACCUAAAUGGAUCGCGAGUGAACUCUAGAAAAGAAUGGUUGCGUAGUGGGAUACUGAAGAAGCACAAGAAAGGAGUCGAAUCUAUUCCAAUGCUAGUAUGUCAGAACGUAAUGGUCUCGGUCCACACUCGCACUUAUCUGGGCCAACAUCAUAUCAACAAGUCAAACAAGGCUUGGAAGAGAAACUUGGGAGACCUGUGAGUCUUAGUGAGGUUUUCAAAGAGACACAUACAAGGCCAGAUGCUACGUAUGUCGAUCGAAAAGCCAAGAAGAUCUUCUCAACUUAUGAGAAAAACUUACAAGCUAAGAUAUCUGAGAUCGAGUCAGAUCCUUCACGAGCUCAUUAGCUCACAGCAGAAGAUUAUAUGGUCAUCUUUCUUCAGUCCACUGAGAAGGAUUCACGAGGUAAUCUUUUUGGACUUGGAAGCCUCAAGGAUCAUCUUCAGGAUCUUCUCAAUGACAAGAGCUAUCAACAAGGAGAGUCGUCAUCGUUUGUAGCAUUGCAAGAGCAAGUGAAGGAAUCUCAUCGUAUAAUUGAAGAACAAGUUGCCUAUACUACAAAACGUGAUGCUGAGAUUGCUGCUCGUGAAGCAGAACACUCCAAAGUUGUGGCUGACCAAGAGAAGAAGAUAGAGAACUUGGAAAAGUUCAUGCGUACGAUGUGUCCAACCUUUGUCGAAUUCCAAGAGUCUGAAUCAAGUUACGCAUCCACCACCUCUCCAACACAGAUAACAGCUCCUACUUAGGUUACUUCUUAGGCCACUUAUUAUGGUUUAGGUUCUCUUUUGGUUACUAUGAACUUGUCACUUUGGGAUGAUGUGUCAAUCAUAUUUUUCGAUUGAUCGUUUUGGUUCUCUUUUUGUAAUUGCUAAUGUGGUGAACAUAUUACUAUUGUGGUGAACUUUUGGGUAUUAAAAAUGUGAAUUUUAGGUUUC